UUUUCGAACUCGUCCCUGUCGGAAUCCUUCCUUUUCAACGCGAUUGCUGAGCGCGUGUUCCAAGCACUUCUUCCCCUAGCUGGUACUUUCUGCCGAGAGGAUUAUCUCAAAGGUGGCCACCGCUUUCAUCUCCCCAAAAUCCACACAAAGGGUUUGAAUCGAAAUCGGUUGUUUUCAUCCCCAAUGGCUUCGGUGUCCAAGGAAUCUCCUUCCAACAACCCAGGCCUCCACUCGAGCCCCGACGAAGCCACUAAAUCAUAUUUCAUGCAACAGACUAUGCUUCGAGUCAAGGAUCCCAAAGCCAGUCUUGAUUUCUAUUCUCGCGUGUUGGGCAUGUCGUUACUCAAGAGGUUGGAUUUUCCAAUGAUGAAGUUUAGCUUGUACUUUAUGGGUUACGAGGAUCCAAAAUCAGCUCCUAGUAGUUCAGUUGAGCGAACAACUUGGACUUUUGGUCAGAAAGCUACGAUUGAGCUUACACAUAACUGGGGUACUGAAAGUGAUCCUGAAUUCAAGGGAUACCAUAAUGGGAACUCAGAACCUCGUGGCUUUGGACACAUUGGCAUCACUGUUGAUGACACAUACAAGGCAUGUGAGAGAUUUGAACGUCUAGGGGUGGAGUUUGUUAAAAAACCUGAUGAUGGGAAAUUGAAAGGGAUAGCAUUUAUUAAGGAUCCUGAUGGCUAUUACAUUGAAAUCUUUGAUCUUAAAACGAUAGGAACAAUAACUGCUGGUGCCGCUUGAGAUAAUUAUGAUACGAACUUCAGGAUUGUCCAAUACAAAUGCAGGAAAAUUUGGGAUGCAGUUUUUAAAUGCUUAUGGAUUUCCAUCUGCUAUUUAGUAGGGGGGUCUGCCUGGGUCGAUAUAGUUCAGAGAACUGUUUUCCGGAAAACUCAAGCUACUCUCAAGCACCGAAGACAUUGGUCAUAAAUACAAUUGGGGCGCACGUGGGGAUGACAAAUUGGUGAUCGCCAAAAAAAGUAUAUAAAAUAUUUUUAAACGUUUUAUUUUGACGUGUUUUACGUUUGCAUCACCUGAACAGCGUCGCUGAUUUGUGGAUCCAUCAAACUCCUCCCCGGUCCCUCCACUUAGAGAGCUUUGCGCUACAAGUUAUUAUUAUUAUUAUUAUUAUUAUUAUUAUUAUCAUCAGUGGAAAUUGUGCGUGGAGCAUGAGAAGAAUUUGUCUUGCUCUAUCCUCGUGGUCUGACGCAACCACUGCUCUAAACACCUUGAGCCAAAAGGCAAAAGCUGCAGUCGAAUAUGUUUGUUUAAUUUAUUUUUAAGUGUUAUACAGCGCAUCCAUGUAAGCAUUUUCAUUCCGAUAGCAUUUACUUUUUUCAGAUAUUAUGUUUUUUUAUCGUUUAACAUUCCGAUCCAUAUAACAUAAUUGGUCUUAUAGAUGUCCUAUAAAAUUUUUUUUUUUUU